GAUGAACGCUGGCGGCGUGCCUAAUACAUGCCAGUCGAGCGAACGGACGAGAAGCUUGCUUCUCUGAUGUUAGCGGCGGACGGGUGAGUAACACGUGGAUAACCUACCUAUAAGACUGGGAUAACUUCGGGAAACCGGAGCUAAUACCGGAUAAUAUUUUGAACCGCAUGGUUCAAAAGUGAAAGACGGUCUUGCUGUCACUUAUAGAUGGAUCCGCGCUGCAUUAGCUAGUUGGUAAGGUAACGGCUUACCAAGGCAACGAUGCAUAGCCGACCUGAGAGGGGUGUCAGCCAACAUGGAAACUAAGACACGUCCAAACUCCUACGGGAGGGCACAGGUAGGAAUUCUUCCGAAUGGGGCGAAGGCUUGCCGAGGCACCGCGGCGGGGGUAAGGAAGGUCUCCGAUUCGAAAAACCUUGUUAUUAGGAAAAAAAAUAUGUGUAAGUAACUGUGCACAUCUGGCGGUACCCUAAUAAGAAGGCCCCGCUAAAUUCCUG
rnacentral:rRNA from 1 species